UACGUAGGGCGCGAGCGUUGUCCGGAUUUAUUGGGCGUAAAGAGCUCGUAGGCGGCUUGUCGCGUCGACUGUGAAAACUCGGGGCUUAACCCCGGGCCUGCAGUGGGUACGGGCAGACUAGAGUGCGGUAGGGGAGACUGGAAUUCCUGGUGUAGCGGUGAAAUGCGCAGAUAUCAGGAGGAACACCAGUGGCGAAGGCGGGUCUCUGGGCAGUAACUGACGCUGAGGAGCGAAAGCGUGGGGAGCGAACAGG
rnacentral:rRNA from 1 species